GGCUGCCCUCCCAGGGUCCUGGGCUCUGGGAGGGGAGGAAGAGGCCAGGAUGGGAGAGGCAAAAGCAGGUGAGGAGGGCGCGCCCACUUUCCUCUCCUCAGGUCCCUGAGAACCCAGAUCUCUGGGUCGCUGCUGCGGCUGCCGCUGCCAUUUCUCCCGCUACCGCCACUGCGGCCUCCGCCCCUGCUGAUUGCCUAGCUGCCGCCACCACCACCACAGUGUGGGCCGGCCCUGGCGGAGAGACGUGGGCUCGCCAGUCACCACUGAGGCCUCAAACCCAGCCCCUCGUGGGUUGGCAAUGGAUCAGACGGGGUGGCGGGGCAGGAUAAAAUCCGGCGAGGUGGAGGUGCUGUGUCCCGCUCUAAAUGACGGUCGUGGCAAGCAAACGUCAAUCCAUUGAUCCUGAGGCUGAUUCCUCCGCUAGAUGUGGGCAGAGGAGGCCCAUUCCCUGGCCACAGAGCACAGGGGCCCCUGUCUCUCCCGGUGCCUUUCAGGAAUCUGUUGAAUGCCACUCUGGCUGACGGCGCCCCUCUACCAGCCACCCCCAAGACCAUCGUCCUCCCUCAGGUACCUGGGCAUGGCCAGUGAGGACCCUGGUUUGGAGGGUGCUGCUCCCUGUUGGGCACAGCAGUUGCCCGCGAGCGUCUCCCUUCUGCAGAGGCAAGGACGCUUCCCAGAAAUCUCUCAGUCCUCACGGCUCUUUCCUCCAGAGUUGUCCUGCUGAGAGUCUUGGCCCAGGUGGCAGCCACGGCCAGCCUCCUUUGGACAGAGCAGCAAGCCAUGUGGUGCUCGUCUCUGUGUGCCUCGCAUCCGUGCACUCAGGGAGAGGGCCAGGGGAGGGCCUUUCUUAGUGCCUAGUUGCCGAUUUCUCACAAACGAGUGCCCUCCGCAGCAGGGAAACAUGGGUGUCCUGACUCGAGAGAAGAGGGUGGGACUUGCUGAUGGAAGAGCCUGCCCGGUGCGUUCUUGUGGCCUGUGGGGCCUGCCUUGUGUGGCAAACUCCUUUGGCGGGUCAUUCUCAACCUUCUGGCUUGACAAGGGUUUUCCUCGCCCUGGAGUUUGAAGGUCCAAGUUGUGUUGUGAGACCGUGCUUUUCUUUGGCAGGACAAAUGAGGCCUUGGGGCAACCAGGUGGCAGAGGGAUCACCUUGAUCUCCUCCCCAGUCCGGUUUUGGCAGACAGGGCCCUACCUCGAUUUCCAAAGAAGGAUGCAAGGACCCGAGCAGAAGGAUUUCAGAGGAGCUUAGACACAGCUGAAGGGAGUGGGAACCCUGUGCCGUACGACACGUGCGCCCUCGAGGAGGAGGAGAGAAUCAUGGAGCAAGCACAGAGAGCAGAAACGUCAAGAUGGGCAUGUGUGGAUUUGGGGUCCAGGAAGGAAAGAUGGAGAGAGAGCCUGAGUGUUUCUGAGGCAGUAUUUCGAGAUUCCAAGACUGACAGGGACCCCAAGCCAUCCUUUGGGCCACAAGAACCACCCCCGCAGGCGUCACCACCAAGAAUAUCCCAUCUGAGAUUGGAAGAGGAAAUGUGCUGAUCGCUACCUCAAGGUCUGAGACAUGUACAGAGAGGGGACCUCCUUCCCAGUCGAAAGACUGGAAGAAGGGACGUGAAGUGUUGGAAGGACAAAACAAAGAGCUGAACUGCAAGUGAGUCAAUCGUGAAUUUGCCAUCCAGUACGCGGAUGAGUCUGUCCACUUGUCCCAAAAUGAUAUUCCUCUUCCUGAUCAUGGCACCAUGGUCCCACUGAUGGACGCAGACCACAGCAUGCGCCUGCACAAGCACCUGGCCAGCGGCAGAGGGCGUGCCGACUCUCUCCGAGCCAGAUGGACCCGUCGCUUAGCAACCGCGUGGCUCGUUGUGAGGCCAGAGGCGCUCGUUGCGGCACACGCGCGGUGGGGUUGGAGGGCUGGCUUCCACUCCAGGGCGCUGGGCUCUCGGAGGGGUGAGGGAGAGGCCAGGAUGACCAAUGGGAGCGGUGAGAGGAGGUGGGGAGGUGAGGGCGUGCCCACUUUCCUCUGCUCAGGUCCCUGAGAACCCAGAUCUCUGGGUCGCUGCUGCGGCUGCCGCUGCCAUUUCUCCCGCUACCGCCACUGCGGCCUGCGCCCCUGCUGAUUGCCUAGCUGCCGCCACCACCACCACAGUGUGGGCCGGCCCUGGCGGAGAGACGUGGGCUCGCCAGUCACCACUGAGGCCUCAAAUCCAGACCCUCGUGGGUUGGCAAUGGAUCAGACGGGGUGGCGGGGCAGGAUGAAAUCCGGCGAGGUGGAGGUGCGGUGUCCCGCUCUAAAUGACGGUCGUGGCAAGCAACCGUCAAUCCAUUGAUCCUGAGGCUGAUUCCUCCGCUAGAUGUGGGCAGAGGAGGCCCAUUCCCUGGCCACAGAGCACAGGGGCCCCUGUCUCUCCCGGUGCCUUUCAGGAAUCUGUUGAAUGCCACUCUGGCUGACGGCGCCCCUCUACCAGCCACCCCCAAGACCAUCGUCCUCCCUCAGGUACCUGGGCAUGGCCAGUGAGGACCCUGGUUUGGAGGGUGCUGCUCCCUGCUGGGCACAGCAGUUGGCCGCGAGCGUCUCCCUUCUGCAGAGGCAAGGACGCUUCCCAGAAAUCUCUCAGUCCUCACGGCUCUUUCCUCCAGAGUUGUCCUGCUGAGAGUCUUGGCCCAGGUGGCAGCCACGGCCAGCCUCCUUUGGACAGAGCAGCAAGCCAUGUGGUGCUCGUCUCUGUGUGCCUCGCAUCCGUGCACUCAGGGAGAGGGCCAGGGGAGGGCCUUUCUUAGUGCCUAGUUGCCGAUUUCUCACAAACGAGUGCCCUCCGCAGCAGGGAAACAUGGGUGUCCUGACUCGAGAGAAGAGGGUGGGACUUGCUGAUGGAAGAGCCUGCCCGGUGCGUUCUUGUGGCCUGUGGGGCCUGCCUUGUGUGGCAAACUCCUUUGGCGGGUCAUUCUCAACCUUCUGGCUUGACAAGGGUUUUCCUCGCCCUGGAGUUUGAAGGUCCAAGUUGUGUUGUGAGACCGUGCUUUUCUUUGGCAGGACAAAUGAGGCCUUGGGGCAACCAGGUGGCAGAGGGAUCACCUUGAUCUCCUCCCCAGUCCGGUUUUGGCAGACAGGGCCCAACCUCGAUUUCCAAAGAAGGAUGCAAGGACCCGAGCAGAAGGAUUUCAGAGGAGCUUAGACACAGCUGAAGGGAGUGGGAACCCUGUGCCGUACGACACGUGCGCCCUCGAGGAGGAGGAGAGAAUCAUGGAGCAAGCACAGAGAGCAGAAACGUCAAGAUGGGCAUGUGUGGAUUUGGGGUCCAGGAAGGAAAGAUGGAGAGAGAGCCUGAGUGUUUCUGAGGCAGUAUUUCGAGAUUCCAAGACUGACAGGGACCCCAAGCCAUCCUUUGGGCCACAAGAACCACCCCCGCAGGCGUCACCACCAAGAAUAUCCCAUCUGAGAUUGGAAGAGGAAAUGUGCUGAUCGCUACCUCAAGGUCUGAGACAUGUACAGAGAGGGUGAGUUGAAAGAAAAAUGCAGAGAGAGCCCCUUCGAAGGAAUGCUCCCCAACACGAAGACCUUCCACCGACACGCACCCCCCCUCCCCCAACCCAGGGACCUCCUUCCCAGUCGAAAGACUGGAAGAAGGGACGUGAAGUGUUGGAAGGACAAAACAAAGAGCUGAACUGCAAGUGAGUCAAUCGUGAAUUUGCCAUCCAGUACGCGGAUGAGUCUGUCCACUUGUCCCAAAAUGAUAUUCCUCUUCCUGAUCAUGGCACCAUGGUCCCACUGAUGGACGCAGACCACAGCAUGCGCCUGCACAAGCACCUGGCCAGCGGCAGAGGGCGUGCCGACUCUCUCCGAGCCAGAUGGACCCGUCGCUUAGCAACCGCGUGGCUCGUUGUGAGGCCAGAGGCGCUCGUUGUCGCACACGCGCGGUGGGGUUGGAGGGCUGGCUUCCACUCCAGGGCGCUGGGCUCUCGGAGGGGUGAGGGAGAGGCCAGGAUGACCAAUGGGAGCGGUGAGAGGAGGUGGGGAGGUGAGGGCGUGCUCACUUUCCUCUGCUCAGGUCCCUGAGAACCCAGAUCUCUGGGUCGCUGCUGCGGCUGCCGCUGCCAUUUCUCCCGCUACCGCCACUGCGGCCUGCGCCCCUGCUGAUUGCCUAGCUGCCGCCACCACCACCACAGUGUGGGCCGGCCCUGGCGGAGAGACGUGGGCUCGCCAGUCACCACUGAGGCCUCAAAUCCAGACCCUCGUGGGUUGGCAAUGGAUCAGACGGGGUGGCGGGGCAGGAUGAAAUCCGGCGAGGUGGAGGUGCGGUGUCCCGCUCUAAAUGACGGUCGUGGCAAGCAACCGUCAAUCCAUUGAUCCUGAGGCUGAUUCCUCCGCUAGAUGUGGGCAGAGGAGGCCCAUUCCCUGGCCACAGAGCACAGGGGCCCCUGUCUCUCCCGGUGCCUUUCAGGAAUCUGUUGAAUGCCACUCUGGCUGACGGCGCCCCUCUACCAGCCACCCCCAAGACCAUCGUCCUCCCUCAGGUACCUGGGCAUGGCCAGUGAGGACCCUGGUUUGGAGGGUGCUGCUCCCUGUUGGGCACAGCAGUUGCCCGCGAGCGUCUCCCUUCUGCAGAGGCAAGGACGCUUCCCAGAAAACUCUCAGUCCUCACGGCUCUUUCCUCCAGAGUUGUCCUGCUGAGAGUCUUGGCCCAGGUGGCAGCCACGGCCAGCCUCCUUUGGACAGAGCAGCAAGCCAUGUGGUGCUCGUCUCUGUGUGCCUCGCAUCCGUGCACUCAGGGAGAGGGCCAGGGGAGGGCCUUUCUUAGUGCCUAGUUGCCGAUUUCUCACAAACGAGUGCCCUCCGCAGCAGGGAAACAUGGGUGUCCUGACUCGAGAGAAGAGGGUGGGACUUGCUGAUGGAAGAGCCUGCCCGGUGCGUUCUUGUGGCCUGUGGGGCCUGCCUUGUGUGGCGAACUCCUUUGGCGGGUCAUUCUCAACCUUCUGGCUUGACAAGGGUUUUCCUCGCCCUGGAGUUUGAAGGUCCAAGUUGUGUUGUGAGACCGUGCUAUUUUUUGGCAGGGCAAAUGAGGCCUUGGGGCAACCAGGUGGCAGAGGGAUCACCUUGAUCUCCUCCCCAGUCCGGUUUUGGCAGACAGGGCCCAACCUCGAUUUCCAAAGAAGGAUGCAAGGACCCGAGCAGAAGGAUUUCAGAGGAGCUUAGACACAGCUGAAGGGAGUGGGAACCCUGUGCCGUACGACACGUGCGCCCUCGAGGAGGAGGAGAGAAUCAUGGAGCAAGCACAGAGAGCAGAAACGUCAAGAUGGGCAUGUGUGGAUUUGGGGUCCAGGAAGGAAAGAUGGAGAGAGAGCCUGAGUGUUUCUGAGGCAGUAUUUCGAGAUUCCAAGACUGACAGGGACCCCAAGCCAUCCUUUGGGCCACAAGAACCACCCCCGCAGGCGUCACCACCAAGAAUAUCCCAUCUGAGAUUGGAAGAGGAAAUGUGCUGAUCGCUACCUCAAGGUCUGAGACAUGUACAGAGAGGGUGAGUUGAAAGAAAAAUGCAGAGAGAGCCCCUUCGAAGGAAUGCUCCCCAACACGAAGACCUUCCACCGACACGCACCCCCCCUCCCCCAACCCAGGGACCUCCUUCCCAGUCGAAAGACUGGAAGCAGGGACGUGAAGUGUUGGAAGGACAAAACAAAGAGCUGAACUGCAAGUGAGUCAAUCGUGAAAUUGCCAUCCAGUACGCGGAUGAGUCUGUCCACUUGUCCCAAAAUGAUAUUCCUCUUCCUGAUCAUGGCACCAUGGUCCCACUGAUGGACGCAGACCACAGCAUGCGCCUGCACAAGCACCUGGCCAGCGGCAGAGGGCGUGCCCACUCUCUCCGAGCCAGAUGGACCCGUCGCUUAGCAACCGCGUGGCUCGUUGUAUCUGAGAACCCAGAUCUCGGGGCGUUGCUGCCGCUGCCAUUUCUCCUUCCUCCGUCGUCCCCUCCAGCACCGCCACUGCCCCAGCUGAUUUCCUACCCGUUCCCCACACCCCCGUGGUGUGGGCUGGACUUUCUGCUGAGAGGCCAGCAUGUCAGUCACCACUGAGGUCUCAAAUGUGGACCAGGGUGGCUUGGCAAUGGGUCCGACGGGCUGGUGGGGCACGAUGAAAUCUGGUGAGGUCGGGGUGAGGAAGAUCUCCCAGUCUCGCUCUCAAUGAUGGUGAUGGCAAUUGUCAAUCCAUUGACUCUGAGACGGUUUGCUCCCCUAGAUGUGAGCAGGGGAGGCCUAUUCCUUGGCCACAGACCACAGGGGCCCCUGCCUCUGCCGGCGCCUUUCAGGAACCUGUUGAAUAGCCCUCUCCCCCCAGCGCCCCUCCACCCUCUCUGCCCUAGACCAUCUUCCCUCAGGAGCUGGGUCAUGACGGGCGCAGACCUGUAUGUGCAGUGUGCUCCUCCCUGGUCAGGCACACAAGUUGUCUGGCAGCAUCCUCCUCAGACAGGCAGGAGGACGCUUCCCGGAAAACUUGCAGGACUCAGGGCUCUUUCCUCCAUUGUUGUCUUGGUGAGAGUCUUGGCUUGGGUGGCAGGUACAGCCAGCCUCCUUUGAACAAAGCAUGCAAGCCAUAGGGUGCUCCUUUCCCUCAGCCCCACAUCUGUGCACUCAGGGUGAGGACGAGCGGAUGGUCUUCCUCCGCCCUUAGUCAUGGAUUUCCUCCAAGAUUACUGUCCUAGGCAGCAGGGAAGCAUGGCUUUCCUUACCCAGGAGAAGAGGGCAAGACCUGCUGACGGAAGAGCAUGAGUGGUGGGCUCCCUGUUCCUCAGGUGGCCUGCCUAGGGGUGGCCAGACUCCUUUUUCAAGUCUUUUUCAGGCUGCUGACUUGACAAAGCCUUUCUUCCUCCUGGAGUUUAAAAGUUUGGGUCGUGCUAUGAGGACGUGUUUUUUCAAGGAAAAAAUGAGGCCUAGGAGGAACCAGGUGGCAGAGGGCUAGCCUUGAUCUCCUCUCCAGUCCAGUGUUGGCAAACAGGUCCAGACUAAGACUUCCAAAGAAUGGAAGCAGUGACCUGAGCAAAAGGGUUUAAGAGGAGGUGAGACACAGCUGAAGGAAAUGGGAACCCUGUGCCCUGAAACACAUGGGCUCUCAAGUAAGAGGAGAGAAUCCUAGAAAAGACUGAGGAGCAAACAGAAGCACAGAGAACAGAAACAUCAAGACAACAUGUGUGGAUUUGGUAUCCAGUAGGGAAAGAUUGAGAGAGAGCCUGAGUGUUUCUGAGGCAGUGUUUGGAGAUUCCAAGAUUGGCACUGACCCCAAACCAUUCUUUGGACCAUAAGAAGAACCCCCGGAGGGGUCAUCAUCAAGAAUAUCUUGUGCAGGACCACGAGAGAAACUGUGCUGAGUGCCACCCCAAGGUCUGAGAAGCUUGCAGACAGGGUGAAAAGAAAGAAAAAGCAGAGAAAGCACCUUCCAAGGAGCACCCCUUGCCCAGAAGACCCCCCACAUCAUCACUGCUAACCCCUGGGAACCCAUCUAGAAGAGUGGCAGCCAGAGGAUGAAGCACUGGAAGGCCAGAACAGACAGCUAACCUGCAAGUGGGUCAGUGGUGAAUUUGCCAUCCAGUCUGCAGUUGAGAGCCUUAUCAUCCAAACUGGCUUUCCUCUUCUUGUUCAUGCCACCACAGUGAGGUCAGAUUUUAGCACUGGGGGCAGGGGGCUAGGGGAGCAUCAGAGCCAUAAGCACCUUUUUGGACCUCUUUGAGCACCUCUCCUGCAAGUGUCACAUGAGUUCCUGAUAAGGUCUUCUGGCGUUCUUAUGUUUGGAAAAGUGUCUCUCAGGAUGGAGAGGGCCGUCUUCCAACUGCCAGUCUGAAGCCUUGCCCAAGUCAGGCACAUCUUCAGGACACCCAGGAAAGCCAACAAGGAGGGGGAAAAGAAUCACACUCAGCCACACAACUGAAUGGAUAAGGAAGAGGAAUAAGGAUGGUAGCCUGAGGAGCCCUAACAUUAAGAGGUUACCAUAGGAAACUAAGAAGGAGCCACUAAUGGGUAAGAGGAAAACCAAGAAUGUAUAAUGUCACAGAAACCAAGUGAAGAAAGUGCAUCAAGGAGGAGGGAGUGAUCAGUUGUGUCAAGUGCUGCUAAUAGGUCAGAUAGAAUAAGAAUUGAAAGUCAACCAUCAGGUUUAGUAAGAUGAAGAUUAUUGGUAAUCUCGACAAGAGCAGUUUUGGUAGAGUGAUGGGUGCAAAAGUCUGAUUAGAGUGGAUUCAGGAGAGAACAAGAGAAAAUAAAUUGCAAGCAGGAAACAUAGAUAAUAUUUUCUAUAUUAUAUUGCUAGAUAUGGGGCAGUGGUUGAUGGGAGAGGGGAAUAAAGAAAAGCGUGUAUGUGUGCUGUUUGUUUUCAAGGUGAGGGAUUUGCUGGAGCCAAGAACUUGAGGGGCUGGCCCCGUGGCGGAGCGGUUAAGUUCCCAUGUUCUGCUGCUGCGGCCCAGGGUUUUGCUGGGUUAGAUCCUGGGCACACACAUGGCAACACUCAUCAGGCCACCUGAGGCGGCGUCCCACAUACCACAACUAGAAGGAUCCACAACUGAAAUAUACAACUAUGUACUAGGGGGAUUUGGGGAGAAAAAGAAAAAGAAAAGAACUUGAAAGACAAAAGCGGGUGGGGUCUAGUGCCCAAGUGGAGGGACUACCUUUAGAUAAUAUGUUUGGUUCAUUUGUGGGAAGAGAGCAAAAGCGGUGUAUAUGGGCACAGAUGUAGAUAGGUGGGUAGGUGAGUGAGUCUGGAAACUCUUCUGAUAGCUUCAAUUGUCUCAGUGAAGUAAGAAGCAGGGUUAUUAGUUGAGAGAAAGGCAAUGGGAGUAUGUGUUGUAGGUUUUUAAAGUUGUGUAUGACAGUGAAAGGACCUAGAAAACAAAACAAAAAAACAGUUUGCAGAGAAUCAUUAAACCCCACCUGAGGUUCAUGGUUAUAUGUUGAAAUCGGGACUAGAGUGACAGCCCCCUUUCCUCUGGCCACCCUUGGGCCCGGGCGCAGCUGGCCUCCUUCGAGAGGGAAGUGAAGGUGUGGCGCUGAUGGGAAAGCUCCAUCUCUCCACGGGGCUUCCUGGGACCUGUAAUUCGCCUGCCGCCUCCACCUUUUCCCUCAGGAACUUUGAGGGGAGAGAGACAAAACACAAGGCGCUACAGACAAGGCACGUUCGAAACUGAAGUCGCCCAACGUCAGUACGUUAGGAGCUAUAGUUCCUGUCACCUCCCCAAAUACCAUUUCCACUCCCGUCUACGUGUCGCAGGCAAUAUCGGGGAAGUAACUUGGCCCGCCUGGUGGGGAGGUAAAGCCGAGGAGCUUCCCUGCGAGCACAGUGGGAAUUGUCGACCUCAAGGCAAGGCGCAUUGAGGCCUUUAGUGCCCCGUCGUCUCCCUUCUCUACGAUCGCUAGGGGACGCUGGGGAACAGGCUAGGCUGCAGGGAAAGGCGAAACUACGGAACUUGGGAGGGAUCGCGCUGGAAACUGCAGCUUCCACAUGUUGGGACAUAGUCGCAAACUGGAAAAGCGGUCCCCUAGCCGUCACGUUCCCUGGAGCGAGCGAGAGAGGCGUGGCCUGGGGAGCGCACACGGUGGACGCUGGGAAAGGGAGUCCCGCCUCUGCGGCCCAGGCCGAGGGUUGUGGUCCGCCUGCGGUCAGGAGAGUUGUUCCGAGCCCCUAGCCCGGAGGGACAAGUCACUGGCCCGAGGGAGAUCCCGCACUACUCCCGCCUCGCCCCCCUUUCACACCCUUCUCCUGUCCUCCCUUCUGGUGUCUGUCUCUGAACUGGACGGGGAGAGAGGCUCGAGACCAACGGAGAAAGAAGGCAGAAGAGCGCGGGAGAGUCAAGGAAGCAGUCGUGGACCGGGAGGGGGCGGGGACAGCCUCCCGGGCUCGCAGGCCGGAAGCCUGUGCGGUGGGAGACCGGGCCCUGGAGAAGACGCCCCCGUCUCGCUGGCGCGCUUGCGCCCUGUGAGUCCCUGGCCCCGGCGGCCGCGAGAGGCCUCACUCUGCCCCGUGCCCGCACGCACGUGUAGGCGAUGGGUCUCGCGUGUCUUCCCGCCAAAAUUCGGUGGCAACAUUUCCCAGUUGAGCAAGGCGGAGGUGAGCCCUUUGCAGAGGUCGGGUGGCCCGGAAGGUUGUGAUUGCUUUGGCUCCUACGCGCGUCCCCGCUCCCGACCAGCUGCCUCCAGACAUCGCUUUCCCCAGGUCGUCCACACGGAAGGCAAAGGGACGGGGGAAGGUGGCGGGGCAGCCCAGGCGCCCUCUCACGGCUUUGCCUUCCAGCCGCCUCCCUGCCUGCCUGUUUGCCUCGGUGAAUCCAGAGAAAUGUUUGGGUAAUGCUCUGUUUCCUAUCAGUUGUCUUUAUAAUAGAUUUUCCUUUGUGGCUUCUUCAGACUUGGUGGGGCUCGGGUGCUGUCAUCGUAUGGGGCACAAGGAGACCCUUUAUAACCACAAAGAGCCAGCUGUGCACCCAGGCCGCUGAUGCAGGGCCUCUGUCACCAAGGCCAGAGCCUCAUGUGCACGUCUCACAAGUCUGGUGAUUAUGGCACAAUAGCUAAGAACAUGCCUGGAGUCUGGCGCUCUGGCCCUGCCACGUUCCAGCUGUGUGGCUGGAGAAGGGUAUAGCGGUACCUUUAGGUAGGGCUGCCACGUUCAGCAAAUAAGAAUGUGGGACAUCCAGUUAAGUUUGAAUUUCAGUUAAAAAACGGGUAACUUUUUAGUACGAGUAUGUCCCAAAUAUUUAUCUGAAAUUCAAAUUUAACCAGGAAUCAAAUUCAAACUUAACUCUAUUUUAUCUGGCAACCCUGAUUUAAGGGAUGAACAUGUCUUUAGAACAGUGCCUGGCAUGCGGAAACGUGCAGUAAGAUUUAUAUAAAAAGGCAAAACUCCUCCCACCACACCCCCACAAACACUUUAGUGUCUCUAGUCAUCUGGCUGUGCUAUCUGAAAUGGCCAGCCCUCAGAAAUCCACUGUCAAACAAGGUCAGUUUAAAUACCCCACUGCACUAUAGUGAUACCAGUCCACCAUCAAAAAGGGCCAGAUUCCUCCUGCCUCCCAGUGCUUGGCACAUUCAUGUGGGGAUUUUCAGGUUCUGAGUAAUGUUGGUGCUGUGUCACUGGACACAAGGGUGUGUGUAGGGGUUAGGGGAGUCUGACCCAUUAUGAUGCUGGAGCCAGUGACUCUUUCUAUAGGAAGCUGUGUCUGGAAUCUGUCUCUCUAGAAUGAGGGGCAUGCUAUCUUCCGUGGAGGAUAAAUGUGUGAGCUAGGAGGAAAUGGAGAGGGAAUGGGGAGGCCUGUGAUGUCGUAUGCCGUGAGUAACAGGUUUUCCCAACUUGGAGAAUGCAUCUUGAGUGGCACUGGUCUCACUGAGCUCAUUGAGACGUCUGCCGUAUGUGAGAAAAGACUGAGAAGUCUAAAGGAAAAAAGGAAAUACCGAAGUGGCAGGACCUAGGAUGAUAAAUGUAAGUCUAUUUGAAUCUUAAGUUUCUCUUUUUGUCUCUCCUAUUCUCUCUCAAUCUCAGGAUGCCCCUUCACUCGUGUCACUAUAAUAGCACCCUGAAUUUAUAUUAUACAUUUUCAUUAUAAAGCUUUUUGAAUUUUAUCUC